GCACAAGCGGUGAGCAUGUGGUUUAAUUCGAUGAUACGCGAGGAACCUUACCUGGGCUCAAAUGUAUGUUGACGUAUUCUGAAAGGGAUACUUCUUCGGACAAUAUACAAGGUGCUGCAUGGUUGUCGUCAGCUCGUGCCGUGAGGUGUCGGGUUAAGUCCCAUAACGAGCGCAACCCCUAUCAUUAGUUGCCAUCAGGUCAAGCUGGGGACUCUAAUGAAACUGCCUACGCAAGUAGUGAGGAAGGUGGGGAUGACGUCAAGUCAUCAUGGCCCUUACGGCCUGGGCUACACACGUGCUACAAUGGUCGGUACAAAGGGUUGCCAAGCCGCGAGGUGGAGCUAAUCCCAUAAAACCGAUCGUAGUCCGGAUCGCAGUCUGCAACUCGACUGCGUGAAGUCGGAAUCGCUAGUAAUCGUGAAUCAGAAUGUCACGGUGAAUACGUUCCCGGGCCUU
rnacentral:rRNA from 1 species